rnacentral:rRNA from 1 species
GCCCCCUCAAGGGCCCAGGGAGACUACCUGGUUGAUAGGGCGCAGAUGUACGGAGGGCAACCUCUUCAGUCGAGCGCUACUAAUCGCCCGUGAAGUUUGAUCUC